rnacentral:lncRNA from 1 species
AAGAUAUUAGUUAUUGCAUAAACACACUAAUAAAUAAUUAUUAAUUUAGCUAAUAUUUUAUUAUUAAAUUAGUUAAUUUUUAAUUUAGCUAAUUAGUUAAUAAAAUGAUAUAUAUAAUAUAUUAAUUAAUAAUAUUUUAUUAUUAAACUAGUAGAGGUAUAAAGAGAAAAUUUUGUUAUUCCACCAAACGGGUGGAACAACAAAUCCCCCCUCUUAACGGGUUAUUCUAGAAUAACCCGUUAAGAGGGGAUUAAAUAAACUCACUCCCUCUUACAGUGUUUGGAUGAAUUAGAAG